GACGAACCGUGCGAACGUUGUUCGGAAUCACUGGGCUUAAAGGGCGCGUAGGUGGUUUGCCAAGUCGGGGUUGAAAUCUUUCGGCUCAACCGGAAAAGUGGCUUCGAUACUGGCAAGCUGGAGGGAGGUAGGGGCGGAUGGAACUUCCGGUGGAGCGGUGAAAUGUGUUGAUAUCGGAAGGAACGCCGGUGGCGAAAGCGAUCCGCUGGACCUCUUCUGACACUGAGGCGCGAAAGCCAGGGAGCAAACGGG
rnacentral:rRNA from 1 species